GAUGAAGAACGCAGUGAAAUGCGAUACGUAAUGUGAAUUGCAGAAUUCAGUGAAUCAUCGAAUCUUUGAACGCACAUUGCGCCUGCCAGCACUCUGGCAGGCAUGCCUGUUCGAGCGUCAUUUCAACCAUCAAGCCCUAGGCUUGCGUUGGAGCCCUGCGGCUGCCGCAGGCCCCUAAAAGCAGUGGCGGGCUCGCUAUCACACCGAGUGCAGUAGAUUACUCUUCGCUCAGGGCGUGUGGCGGGUUCCAGCCGUGAAACCCCCUACUUCUCAAGGUUGACCUCGGAUCAGGUAGGAAUACCCGCUGAACUUAAGCAUACAAUAAGCGGAGGA
rnacentral:misc_RNA from 1 species